CUACAAAGGAAUUGACGGGGACCCGCACAAGCAGCGGAGCGUGUGGUUAAUUCGAUGCUACACGAAGAACCUUACCAGGGUUUGACAUGCAAGUGGUAGUGAGCCGAAAGGUAAACGACCCCUCGGGGAGCUUGCACAGGUGCUGCAUGGCUGUCGUCAGCUCGUGCCGUGAGGUGUUAGGUUAAGUCCUGCAACGAGCGCAACCCUCGUCGCUAGUUAUUUUUCUCUAGCGAUACUGCCCGUAUAACGUGGAGGAAGGUGGGGAUGACGUCAAGUCAGCAUGGCCCUUACAUCCUGGGCUACACACACGCUACAAUGGGUGAUACAACAGGUUGCAAUAGAGUAAUCUGGAGCUAAUCCCCAAAAUCAUCCUCAGUACGGAUUGCAGGCUGCAACUGCCUGCAUGAAGUUGGAGUUGCUAGUAAACGCAGGUCAGCACACUGCGUUGAAUACGUUCUCGGGCCUU
rnacentral:rRNA from 1 species